GCUUAAAGGAAGCAUUACGCGAGAGCAGACAUGCAAGAUGGUAGUGGCUGGAUAGAUAAAGGUACUAAGGACUAUUAUUAGAUGUAUAUAGCACCAGAAAGCCCAACCCUGAUCAACCUUCUUCAGGAACAUCCUAUACAGAGUACAGAAGUGAGAAGAUGCAGAAGAAGAAGAUGAAAAAGGAGGAACAAUAAAAAAGAAGUAAAAUAAGAGAAGAUGAGAAAAUAUAAAAAUGUCAAGCAUCCCUGGCAGCUGUUAGAGAAUCUUUACGUUCACGAAGGUAUCGCCAUGUUUCGCCUAGCAAUUUACGACUUCGCUCGUACCAACUUCUCUCGGGCUGUUCUCUCCCUCCACGAACUCUCCUACACUCGUAACUCGUAUAUCGCACCAAGCUACAGGUGCUUUAUGCUUUAUGCUUUAUCGUUUAUCACCCAUUCGCUGCUUGGGACAUUGAUGUAUGUUAUCGCCGAGUAAAAGAAAAGACUAUGAGAAUAUAAAGCACAAGGCAUUUUUAAGGAACAAGAAGAAGAAAGGAUUUCAAGGUUAGCCUUACAGAUCUCUAAAAGUGGAUAUUAUCCCUAGACUGCAAUGGCUGAACUCUCAAGGACUUGAAGGUUAAUCCAGUCGUUGCUUGGUACUACUGGUGGUAGCAACAGCAGCAGCAACAGCAGCAGCAACUGCAGCAGCGCAGCAGUUAUGGCGAUGCUGAUGGUAUUGCUGCUUACUUUUUGGAAUAUCUUGAAGCCAGGGAGAAAAUCGAUGCUACCGUCGGCGCUCACCUACCGUGGCAUAAUCGCCAUGCGGAUUUCUGAAGCGUCUCAGGAUCCAGCCUCUCGAGUUCACCUUCAGCCACUUUAAUUGGCGAGUGCAUUUGCGAUUCUGGUUGCUUGCUCCCCCGCGUUUCAUCCUUGAUAUGCACUGGUGCAUCCCACGUAGAGCUCGAUAUUUUUGAUAUUUACAUUAUACGGAUACUCUACGUCUUUUAUUGCCUGUGGACCAAACCCCAGGCGAAAUCUCUAACGAAUCUUUUAUUUACGGCAAACAAUUGGAAGAAGUCGUGUGUAAUAUAACACUAUUCUUCUAUUAACCAUUAAUGGUAAAACACAGUAACAGAGAAAACACUACUAGAAUAAGAGCUUUGAACAAUUUGAGCGAUAACGUAUAAUCAAUGAUAUGCGGAUGUACAAUAAAAAGAAUUUAAUAUAGAUUAAUGCCGUUUAAGACCAAUUACUAAAUUUCGCUAACGCACGCACCUUAUGUAUAAAAAUAUAUUAACAUAGAGAAUCGUUGUGACAAUUUUUUGUAUUUACGUGAUCGAGAUAACCAGCCGUAGCCAGGAAGCUUCCAAUAUACAGCACCUCGUGUGUUUCCAGUAUGCAAUUUGCUUCUAAUAAAAAUCCAAGCCGAAUAAAAGACUCCUACGUUGACCACGG